ACUGGCGGGUGCUUAACACAUGCAGUCGAACGAUGAAGCCAGCUUGCUGGGUGGAUUAGUGGCGAACGGGUGAGUAACACGUGAGCAACCUGCCCCGAACUUCGGGAUAACAGUUGGAAACAGCUGCUAAUACCGGAUAUGCACUUGAACCGCAUGGUUACUUGUGGGAAAGAUUUUUCGGUUCGGGAGGGGCUCGCGUCCUAUCAGCUUGUUGGUGAGGUAAUGGCUCACCAAGGUCGUCGACGGGUAGCCGGCCUGAGAGGGUGACCGGCCACACUGGGACUGAGACACGGCCCAGACUCCUACGGGAGGCAGCAGUGGGGAAUAUUGCACAAUGGGCGCAAGCCUGAUGCAGCAACGCCGCGUGAGGGAUGACGGCCUUCGGGUUGUAAACCUCUUUUAGUUGGGAAGAAGCCUUCGGGUGACGGUACCUUCAGAAAAAAGCACCGGCUAACUACGUGCCAGCAGCCGCGGUAAUACGUAGGGUGCAAGCGUUAUCCGGAAUUAUUGGGCGUAAAGAGCUCGUAGGCGGUUUGUCGCGUCUGCUGUGAAAACUGGAGGCUCAACCUCCAGCCUGCAGUUGGGUACGGGCAGACUUGAGUGCGGUAGGGGGAGAUUGGCACAUUCCUGGUGUAGCGGUGGAAUUGCGCAGAUUCAGGAGGAAACACCGAUAGCGAAGGGCAGAUNCUCUGGGCCGUAACUGACGCUAAGAACGAAAGAGUGGGGAGCAAACAGGCUUAAUCCCUGGUAUCACUCGUAANCUUGGAACUAUU
rnacentral:rRNA from 1 species